CCACCGUGUUCAGGGACAACCCUGUGAUCAUGGUUUUGGUCACAUAGCUUCCAAGUGAGUGUUGUGCAAACAUUUGCUAGGAUCUCUCGGGGAGCCUGUUAGAAAAGAAACUCCUGAGCCUGCUCCAGAGCUUCUGUUCAGCAGGCCUGAGGUGGGACCAUACACCUGUCUUUUCAGCAAGCCCCCCCCCACCUCUGAGGAUGCACCCCAAAGCUAGAGAAUUCCUGCUCUGAGCCAUCUCUGAAAGCACCAAGAGCCAGCUCACGGAGGAGAUGCCAGCUCACGGAGGAAAAUCUGGAAGGUGUUGAAGCAUAGACGCUGGAACAUAAAAUGACUCAUGAUCUCACUGGGAGAAGGGCUGGGAACAUCGUGGGCUCUCUUCUCCCCGCGCUCCUCUCUCCGGGUCUCUGUUUCCCUCAUUCCACGAUGUUUAGAACCAUCGGCGCACUACAUCAGACUAGAGGUCUGGGGUCACCCGACCAUCCCGCCACAAGCCCCUCCGAGGCAUCACUGUGUCCAGAUUUUGCAAACUGCACCUCCUGAAGGGGCUGGGGUCUGUCCACUUCGCCCCAUCUGCCGUGGCAGCACUUCCUCCGUGGUUCGCACCCCCACAGCAGCCUCCUGGGAAGGCACCUCCCUGGGGCCCCUCUCAGUCCACGGUGUGGAUAUGAUCACGACCCCCUUGUGGCUAAGCCCUGGUGCGCCACCCUGCAAAAUCAAAGGUGGUGUCUAGGCACAGAAAUGGCUCCGUGACCUAUGUCCCCUUUGUUCUAAUCUAGAAUCCAGCCAGGAGUAUGCGUGUCAGAAGCCAGGGGUGAUUGUGUUUUUUCUCCUUCCUCUUUCUUUAGGUCAGGAAGAUUCCUGCAGCUGCUGAGUUAGUACUUUUAAGAAAGUACUGGAUUCCCUCUCACAAUGGGACUUUGAUUUUUUUAAGAAAAAGGUUUCAUAAGUUUUCAAAUAACCUGGAGCAGUUGAGCAAACUUAAUGUGCAGCGUGGUCCCUGCUGGCUGGGUUUGAGGGGCUGGGUCUCUCUGAGUGGAUGCUGGUGAGGUGCAGAGGAAGAAGAAAAGGUGCCUGAGGGCCUGUGUGGAAGGCCUGUCACACAGCACAUCCUGGGAAAUCUGUCCAGGAAGCAGCCAGGCGGGCAUCAGCCAGGCGGGCAUCAGCAUCUUCACUGUGCAGAUGAGAAACUGAGGCCGCAGAGGUGAAGGGACAUGCCCAGGAUCACUAAGCGUUUCAGCAUCUCUAUAAAACCCUCACAGGUGAUCCCUAGAAACACAGCCAGUGGCCCGGAAGCUGCACUGUUUUGUGCACCGCAGGGAUGGGCACAGAUGGGGCUGCCUGCCCUCCUCCUGGAAGGAGGGAGAACCCAGUCUGGCCUGGAGUGGUCAAGAGCUAACUCUAGACUCAGCAAGACCUACUUCUCUCUCCUGCCCCUACUUCCUUGCUGCUGACCUGGGCAAGUCGCUGAAGCCUCUCCGUGCCUCAGUCUGCUCGUGCGUAAGAUGGGCACAGGGCACACUGCCUACUUGAUUGGGCUCAACCACGUGCAGUAAGUAGCUGGUGUCUGGCAAGAGCCCUCAGGAAACAGUAACCCCAUUAAUUCAAAUGCACGUGCCUGGAACAGGCUCUGGGGGGCCAGCCCGGGAGUCCCACUCCAUGAUGGCCACCCUGGGGCCUGGCAGGCUGGGCUGGCAUCCCAGGCCCACCGGAUACUGGCUGUGCACCCCGGCCAGGCCACACAUCUCUGAGCCUCACUUUCCCGUGUGUGAGAUGAGGCUAGAAGCUGCUUUCUCUUGCGUGUGUGGGGAUUGGCGGUGACAACACGGCCAGGAGCCCAGGCCCAGCCUACGCGAGCAGCCUCGCUCCAGGCCACACGCCCCACUCCUGACAGCUCUGUGCAGCGAGUUCGUGCGCGAGCGGGUGGCUGUCUGCCAGGCGAGGGGCGCGGGUGCCCAAGAGGGCUUCACUGCUUCUGGAAAGAUCACAAGGAAAAACCACCUCCGCGGCGGGACGCUACCCGCGGGCCGCUGCGGUCCCGCUCGCGGCCGGCAGGGGGCAGGAUGUCCCCGCGAGUCGCCCGUGUCUUCGGGUGUCCUCAGGUCACCCCGCACCGCUCGCAGCCUCCGCGCCUAGUUAAAGGGCGACGCACUCAUUUCUGCAAAGAAGGAGCCCAGCGGCCCCUCCCCGGGGAACUCUUUCCAUCAACUCGGGGCCUAAUAAUUUACAUUUAAUUUGUUAGCGGUUUAAUGUUUAAUUUUAAAAGCGAGAUGAUUCAUUACCAUAUUAAUAAAUAAUAACAUUUAUUAUUCUCCUAAUGAGUGUCCAAAAUACAGAAGCAAUUACAUGUUUUAUAUAUUUUCUCGUAAUUUGAGACACCAGAGCGUUAAUUACAGAGACUCACGCGUGGACCCCAUUCUGAUCCAGGGUCCUGAUCCUGCCUUUGUUUCGGUCUCUGAACCAGCCGCCCUCCGGGGCUUCUGCAAUUCCCUCAAUUAGAGGAGAGGAAGUCGUACGUGACGAAGCUGGGGCUCUCACAGAACCCCGGCGCCCCAGACCCAGGAGCUGCAAGACCUCAGCUCCCCGUGCCCACACUCGGAGACCCAGGCCCCUCCCAGUCCCCCGUCUCCUCUGUGCAGGGUUCUUCAGGAAGAAUCGGAAAGAGGCCCCCCGACCCACAACCAGCCUCGCAUUCCCUCCUCCCGCAGGGAUCCAUUGAGCUGGGGGGUGGGACUAUCCUCACUUCACAGAUGGGGAAACUGAGUCCUGGAGAGAGACGCUCCGGUGUCCUCAGCUGGUGAGGGGCAGAUCCGGGAGCCACGUCCCACGCAGUCGGUUGGCCCCAAGCUUGGUUCCUGCCUCAACCCCAGCGCAGGUUGCAGCAGGCCCGCGUAGGAGGGCGGCCUGGGUCUGGACAGAUCCACAGCCGGCCAACGCCCCUGGCUAGCUCUCUAUGGCUUUGCUUCUUCUCUUGACUUGCCAAGUUCUUCUUGUUCAUUGUAGAAAAUGUGGAAGGUGAGGCCGGGAGCGGUGGCUCACGCCUGUAAUCCUAGCACUUUGGGAGGCCGAGGCGGGCAGAUUGCCUGAGCUCAGGAGUUCGAGACCAGCCUGGGCAACAUGGUGAAACACGUCUCUACUAAAAAAAAAAAAAAAAAAAAAAAAAAAAUUUGCUGGGCGUGACGGCAGGCGCCUGUAGUCCCAGUGGGAGUUUGGGGAGGCUGAGGCAGGAGAAUCACUUGAACCCGGGAAGCAGAGAUUGCAGUGAGCCGAGAUCGUGCCACUGCACUCCAAUCUAGCGACAGAGCAAGACUCCGUCUCAAAAAAAAAAAAAAAAAAAAAAGUGGAAGGUGAAAAAAACACGGAGAGACAGCAAAGCUGGCAAUGACAUAGCUCCAAAAAUCCCACUUCUCAGAUAAGAUGCAGGCAGUAAGGGCCUGGAGUUUUAUGUAUCCUGAUGUUUGAAAGGGCUUGGACAGGGCACUUCCUCCCUCCAUAGCUCUUCUGUCCUUAGGAAUCCCUCCCUUCUGGAGGGGAAGGGUGGGGGUUUUCCUGUUUGGUCCCCAGGGAAGGAAGUUCAGAGACAGAGGCCCACUCAGGGCCACCCCCUGGCCUGCACCCCUGAAAUGCAAUUUGGAUAAUAUGGAAAAUUACUAGGAAGAAAAAACGCUAUAAUCCCCCCACCUAGAGAUAACCAGGCGUUCUGGUAUAUACCUAUUGAGGACUUUUUUCCCAAGCAAAUACUCAGAAAGAGACUUCCUCCCAAUAGGCAUGAGAUCUUACUCCACGUGCAGUUUGUCUUAUCUUGAUUUUUUUCCAGUAAUCUUUUAAGAGUUUCCCAUGCCAUGUAGUCAUUCUUCAAAAACCCACUUUGAACAGCUGCGUAAUAUUCCGCUGUGGAGGAGUGCCCUGCAGUGUAGAGAAAUGAGUUAUUUACGCUGAAGUCUGUUAUUACAUGGACAUCUUCCCUUUUCUGACCCUGCAAUGACCACACUCAUAGGUGAGUCUCUCUGGAAAUCCUUGACUACCUCCUUAGGGUCCAUUCUUAGAAGUGGAAUUACUGGGUUAGAGGGCAUGAGUGCCUUGAGGGCGGCUGUCUCCCUCUACCUGCAUGCCUGCCAGGGCAAACCCGUGCAUGCUCCCAGGACAGGCCUGGCAGGGCGUGUCUCCCUGCUGCACCCUUGGUACCCUUGGCAGGGCUAACAUUAUCCUCUAAACCAGGUCUUUGCAGCACUUACCCUUUUCAAGGUGCUACUGUACCUCUCCUUUAAGGAG
rnacentral:lncRNA from 10 species